CACGUAAGCCCCAAGCGUUGUUCGGAAUUAUUGGGCGUAAAGGGCACGUAGGCGGUUAUUCAAGCUUGGUGUGAAAUGCCGGGGCUCAACUCCGGCACUGCGUUGAGAACUGCAAAACUAGAGUAACUGAGGGGCAGCCGGAAUUCCAGGUGUAGGGGUGAAAUCUGUAGAUGUCUGGAAGAAUACCAAUGGCGAAGGCAGGCUGCCAGCAGAUGACUGACGCUGAGGUGCGAAGGUGCGGGGAGCAAAC
rnacentral:rRNA from 1 species